rnacentral:lncRNA from 1 species
AUAUGAUUCGAUUCUUCUAUCGUAAGCCUUGACAAGACUAAAGUCAUGGAUAACUCAUCAACCUGAUUUUAUUAUAUGUAAAAUAUAAUCAAUCUGACUUCUUAGUAAAUCCUCAUAAAAAAAUUCUAUUCAUCAUUCAUACUUGCCAUGGUCUUGGACUUUCGAACUCAAUUUCAUGAUCCUCAUAGGACUUCUUUCUAACUAUCAAGAUCGACAGAUCCCAUAUAGGUACACACCAUAUUUCUACAAUGAACCUACUGCAGUC